AACCUGCCCUUUACUUGGGAUAACCCGUUGAAAGACGGACUAAUACCCAAUGAUAUUCAUUGAUGACAUCUGAUUUGAAUUAAAGAUUUAUCGGUAUAGGAUGGGGGAUGCGUCUGAUUUAGCUUGUUGGUGAGGUAACGGCUCACCCAAGGCCCACGAUCCAGUAGGGGUUCUGAGAGGAAGGUCCCCCACAUUGGAACUGAGACACGGUCCAAACUCCUACGGGAGGCAGCAGUGAGGAAUAUUGGUCAAUGGACGAGAGUCUGAACCAGCCAAGUAGCGUGCAGGAUGACGGCCCUAUGGGUUGUAAACUGCUUUUGUUUGGGAAUAAUCGACAUUACGUGUAAUGUUUUGCAUGUACCAUUCGAAUAAGGACCGGCUAAUUCCGUGCCAGCAGCCGCGGUAAU
rnacentral:rRNA from 1 species